AACAUGUGACUGAUUUGAAAGUUAGGUUAUGUAAUCCAUAAUCAGCUAGCCGGCGUGUUGUGAUAGUAAUUUAAUUAUCCAGUUAGUUAUUUAUAAUUCCAAUAUUUCAAUGGUAUUCCUGUUUUUAAAGAACAGAGCACAAGAAUCCAGAAUGACCAGUUAGAAGGAAGGCCGAUAGGAAUUCCAGUCAAUUCAUCCAUCUAAUCUGCGCGUCAGCUGAGAAUUACCAUAAACAUUAUCGGCCUCUCAUUGAAAAAUGUCUGGGAUACGAUCAUCGUCUUAAAUUCUGUUACGGGGGAAAAUGAAAUUUCUGUAACUUUCUUCCUGUUUGUGGAAUAUCCCCGAGCGUUUUUUGAGAAGUGACAAAGGGAUUGUUCGUCCAAUCAGCAGGAAGUAAUCCAUCUGACCGAAAUACGAAGGACAUUGUCCGCAGGUGUACACCAACACAGCGGGAUCUCACACUAACAACAAUAGCCUUGAGAAUGGAUUUCGCAAUAGUGGUAGCAGGCUAGCAAAUAUCGGCAGAUGUCUUAAAAAUUGCCAGAAGUUUGAUGGUCCCAAAUCCACAUUGAACAAACACAUUGACUGCAUGUUUUUGUCAAAUACGGGAGAAUAGAAUCGAAACAAACAUUUUGGACCAAGUAAAGUCAACAAUGUUGUACAUUCCAGGAUUUUUCCUGAGUUAUCACUGUCAUGAAUAAAUUGAGAAGUGUGAGAUUGUGUGAAAAUCUCACACCAGUCAAAACCUGAUUUAGCGUUUUUGUUCCAUAAUUUGAGUAUUUUAAUGAAAUGACUUCUUCAUUGUAAGUUAAGUUUAACCCCAAAAAAUAAAUGUUUUUUGUGUUACAUUUUGAAUACUUGAUUAAUUUUAUAAUAAAAUCCAAUUCUUUUCUGCUGGAUAUAAUAUUAUAUUAUGAAGGGUCAAUUGAAUAAUAUUACCAUAGAGAAACAAUAGCGUAAGUAGAUAUCCCAUGGUAUAGGGCGUUUAUGUCGUAACUUUUACUGUUAUCUCAAGCUGAUAGUCCACGUAGUUCUUUCCUGUGAAGCUUUAUGACGCUGGUAGUCUCUCAUAUUGUGCCGUUCAUACACUCUUACCCGGUCAAAACAGUAAAAAUCUACAAUAAUUGACAGUAAUCGGCUUGAGAUAACAGUAAAAGUUGCGACAUAAACGCCCUAUACCAUGGGAUAUCUACUUACGCUAUUGUUUCUCUAUGAUAUUACUCAUAUGCUUAGAACAGAAAAUUCAACAAAUAAUUUAUUCUCCUGAUGUUUGGUAUUCUAGGUCAUUGUCAUUCAAGUAUGCAUCAUAUUUUGUAAAUCAAAUUUAUAAGUGUUGUUAUGCAAGAAGUACAUUGUAUUGUAAACAACCCUUCUCGCACACUGACUAGUUUCUCGGUGAGGUGUAUUAUUCUAUAAUUAUUGUUUAUAUUUAAGUAUUUUUUGUAAAUAAAUGUUUGUUGAGAAUAAAA